CCUGCUCCUAGAGGUGUUGCAGGUAUGGCUGCUGUGUCGCAUGGGUAUGAGGAGGUGGCAGAGAGGAGAUGGCUAUGUCUACACUAGUGUUCUGACCUAUGACCAUCUGAAUAAUUAGUAGCCUAACACU